AUGAUAGGCCUGAGUUGGAACUGCCGAGGAAUCAGAGGCGCCUCGACAGUUCGUGAUCUCACCGGCCUCGUUCAAACUCACCGCCCACAGUUUGUGUUUUUGUGUGAAACUAGGCAAAAAUCUGAAAGAGUUCGUCGUUUGUGUCAUCGCUUAGGUCUGCGUGGCUUUUGCGGUGUCGAUAGUGAAGGUCAGAGUGGUGGUUUAGCUCUUUUCUGGAAUGAUCAGUUAUCAGUUGAGAUUAAAGAUAAGAACAAUAGAAUGAUUGAUUCUUAUGUUCGUGCCUCUCCGUCUAAUCCUGAGUGGCAUCUUACUUGUGUUUAUGGGGAACCCCGUACUGAAAACCGGCAUCGGAUGUGGUCCAUAAUCUCAGACCUGCGUGCGAACAGUAACCUUCCAUGGAUGCUCAAGGGGGAUUUUAAUGAGGCCUUAUGGCAAUGUGAGCAUUUGUCUGCAACUCCUCGACCGGCCAAUCAGAUAGCUGCUUUUCGGGAAGUGGUGCCAGAUUGUGAACUGCAUGACCUUGGUUUUUCUGGGGCACCGUUCACGUAUGAUAAUAAGAGGAGAGGUGGAGCUAAUGUGAAAGUAAGAUUGGACAGGGCCUUGGCUGAUGAGAGAUGGCGAGAUAUCUUCUCUGAUGCUCACGUGGUACACCUAGUAUUGCCGUGCUCGGAUUACUUGCCAAUUUUAGUGCACAUGCAAAGGGAAUAG
rnacentral:rRNA from 1 species